CCCCAGGAAAAUAUGCUUUAACCAAAUCAGAAGAGAUAUGAAAUCGUGUGGGGGGAGAAAGGGGAUCAAAAGAGGUCAGAAAGAAAGAAAGAAAGAAAAAAGGAAAGAAAAAAAAUUUAAAAAGAAAACGAAUAAAGAAAAGUAUAAAAAAGAAAAAAAUAUAUAUAUUAGAUAAAGUAGUUAAAAGACGUUAAAAAAGAAAAAGGUAAAAGUUAAAAAAAAUUUUUGCAGAAGAGAAAAAAAAUGAAAAAGAAAAAAAAUUAAAUUAACUGCAAGACUGAAGAAUCAUAGGAAGAAAGCCAUGAGUUCUGUGCUUUGCUUUCUCCUCCUCUGGAAUUCUGUGCUCUCCUUGGUAUUGAAACUGCACUCCUUGGUAGGUGAACUUGGUCUUGGCUGGAUUUCUUGUUGAUCUUCUGGGGGAGGAGCCUGGUGUAGUGAUUCUCAAGUGUCUUUGCCCCAGGCGGAAUUGCACCGCCCUUACCGGGUGCCAGGCUGAGUAAUCCACUCGGGUUUGCUUUCAGGAGCUUUUGUUCCCUGAGCGCUUUCUGUAGAGUUCCGGAGGAUGGGAAUACAAAUGAUGGCCUCCUGGUUCUGGCCCGGAGGAGCCGAGAGCCCGGGGCCCCACUCCUCAGUGCACCCGCAGAGAACAUUGCCCCCGCAGAGAAUAGCGCCCAGUAACUCCCAUCUGCCUGACCUCCAGCCUUGCUCUGAGCUCACCGAGUCUGCGACCGGUUCAAGUCUCAUGAGUUCCAGUAUCAUCAGUUCAGAAGCCUUUACUCCUAUAAAGAAGAUGGGGAUUCAUGCUCUAACACUUUGGAAGGUGGGUAUGCUUGUAGGGUGGGUACAUGACCAAUUCCAGCCCUCUCAGAAAAGAACUGGCACAAUAUACAGUAGUUUAAAUCUUUAUAGUCUGAAAAGCAGACUGUACAUAUGUUGUACAUUAUUGUAAUUUUUGGUGACAAUAGAAAGAGUUUAGUAAAACAGG
rnacentral:lncRNA from 1 species